rnacentral:rRNA from 1 species
AUUAAAUGACCUGCGGAAUGUAGCUUCGAUCUCGGUUGAAGUGUUAUAGACUCUGGUAGAUGUGGUGAUCGGGACUGAGGAUUGCAACGAAUAUCCUUUGGGCUAUCCGUCUGACCUCUGAAAGUUGCUCAGGUGCCGAAAGCGUGCUUACGGUUAUCUAAGUUGACGGUCAAUAGGUUAGAACGUGAUUAACAUUCGUUAAGGACGUUGGCGUAAUGGCUUUAAACGACCCGUCUUGAAACACGG